UUACGGUCAAAUCACGCUGAAAACACCGGUUCUCGUUCGAUCACCGAAGUUAAGCAUCGUAGAGCCAGGUCAGUAGUUAGAUGGGGACCGCUUGGGAACACCUGGUACUGUAAGC
rnacentral:rRNA from 1 species